AAGAGAUAAAUACUAAUACAGCCAUCCAUGCAGUAUCGGGUCCUGUUGGCCUUCUUUAAACUAUGCGACCACCAGUUCUUACCGAAUACCAUAUUAAACAUUUCCAGUAGCCAUUGGAAAGAAAUGACAUUUCCUUCCUCUUCGCCACAAAGACAUUCAACUUGAACUGAGUUUAAUUGGAAAUUAUGAUGUCUACAUACAACAUGCAUUCUCUCUUAUAAGCGUAUGUGAAUUGUAUAGAGAGUAUAUAAGUGUAGGUUUUAAAACUGAAAUGCUUUCUGUUUGUCUUCCCCUUUGACCCAAACAAGCAAGAGGAAGUUCACAGUCUCCAAGGCACCAGAUUACGCCAUUGAUCCGAACCCAAAAUGGCUCCAUGUCUGGCAUUUUCAGAGGCCGUUCCCAAGUCAAUGUCAUCCUAUCUGCCUCAAACUAAAAGAGACAAAUACGACUGGUUUAAGGUAUCUGCCUCAUUAGGAGGCACCACAGAUCAGAGCGUAAAUAGUUUAGACUGAUUCACUGACCAACAAAAUAGCGCCAGGGCUUCAGUUCAAUAAAAUUCAUCUUGUAGUCUCACAAAGUGCUGCUUAGUUGCACACUCCGAUAUUACCUUGGUAUACUACCAUGUCCAAAACACUCUUAGUACUUUUUUGUUUGUACAAAGUUAGACUGGAAAUGUAGUGUCAUUUUUGUUUUCAUUGUCAUAAUGAUUUAUUCAGAGCUCCCUUCUAGUGAAAAGUUCAAUGCACUGACGGUUUAGGAUUUUAACAUAAUAGAUGUUGUUAGCUCUUGCGAUGUAUUCAUACUUUACAUUUGAAAUGCUAACCAUAGAAAAGUGCUUUAGCAGGGCCAUAACUGAAGCCUUCUCUUGCAGGUAAAGAUGGAGUGGUUGUCUUGCUGUUGUGCUGGUAUCAGACAUGGGCUCUUCAUCAGAUGACUUAUGGAGUUGUGCAGCUAACCAGGAGGCCCAAGGCUGUUUGUUAGCUCUUAACAAGAAUAAGCCAAGCUGUGUGCUCGCCAGAUCCAGUACGAGCACUUAGAAGAAGCAGACUACCAUUACAGAAAAGUUUUGCGCACAGCUCAUCCCUCCACUGCCUGUAUGCUUUAUUGACCUUGAUGGCAGCCCAAGUGGGACACUCUUCCCAAGAACCGUCUGGCCUCCGUAAGUAUAUCUGCGUCCUUGGCGAGAGAUGUGAUCACGGUCGCUCAGUUAGAGCUUGCAGGGCAGCCAGAUGUCUUUCUCAUGGCCUUCAAAGUAUUGUCUCUCCAGCUGUUUAUUUAUUAAUGUUGAGUUCACACUGCGAUAACUCUCACCCUGCAAAUACUGUUUAUUAUACCAGAACCAUGAGAAGUGGCAAGUAUUUAAAGAUGAAUGUAAAUACAUUUUUACAUUUUCUAAAGAAAAUGUGAGUUAGUGCUCAUCUGCGCAGGGGGAAAAGCCACUGUACAGUUUUGUCAGUGCUUGCUUACUCAUUAUAUAUAUGAUCUUUAAAUAAUAUCAGCCUUUAAAUGCUAAAUACUUAAAGUGUACCUGAAGUAUACAGUUCCACUUUAGCACAAAUAUACUAAGUAUAUCUUUAAUUGGACUUCAGCACUACUUUCGCACAAUUAAAGUGCAUUAAAUUAGUUGUUACAAUUAAGCAGACUUUAAGUAUACCAGUUUAGUAUACUAAAUGUACUAUUGUAAGGUAUUUUAUUAAGCACAUAAAUAUGAAAAUGUAUUUGUAGUAUAUACUUAGCAUUUCAAAUACAUUUAAGUAUGUUUAUUUUUAACUAGGGUUGUUUGGAAGUAAAAACAAUCAUUAAGAUUUUUAAAAAUAUAUAUAAUCAGAGUAUUGAUGUUAUGCAUCAGGGGCUUAAUACAUUAAAGAAUAUCAAUCUAUGCUUUAAGGUCAUCGUCACAGUCUCUGAACAAGCUCAAGUUUCUUAAAACGUCUGGUUUCUCUCACUCUGGUUAGUUCAGAGAAGGACAGGUAAUCUAACACCAUGAAAGCCAUCUCGAUCGCUCUCUUUCCCUCCCUCUUCUCUGUUCUUCUUUUGCGUGUUCCUGUUCUGGUAAGAGAAGAUCUGUCUCUUUUUAAUGAAACUCCCCGUCACACCCAUCUCCCAUCUGGUAUGUGUGCAUAUAUGUGUGUGUGAGGUGGUGGGAGGAGAUGGCUAGUGUGUGUGUGUGUGUGAGAGAGUACAGAAGUAACCAGAGAGAAUAACAUGUGUAUGUAUGUGUGGUGUCAUUACAACAGGAAGCCUUUGCUCUGAUGAGAGGUCUCACUUCCUGUUUAUAGAGCAACCACUGGAGCGCAACAAUAGCUGGAAUUUUGAUGGAUCGGCAGAGAGGACGCCCAACUCACACCCUCCAGAGAAAAGAUUUCGUUUUUCACUCUUGCUGACAACAGUCCGACACAAUCUGUGAGAAAUCAGCAGCAAUACAUUCAGUGUUCCUGAUCAGCUGUAAAGGAACAGGCAAGUCCCUCUGUAAACAGUACCUAAAGCAGUUUUACAAACUAAUACAUUCAUAAGUUCAGUUUAUAAUGUUAUUGUAUCAUAUUUGAACCCUAAAAUUACAAUUAUUUUAUUUUACUACAAUUCAUGAUUUUCAAAACAUGAUCAGUUAAUCGAAUACA